UAAAAACUAACAGGAACUCACAUGCUCACUAAAGCUGGGGACCCGAGGCUGGGUUUCUCUGCAUAGUCUUGGCUGUCCUGGAACUCACUCUGUGGACCAGGAUGACCUCAAACUCACAAAGACCCACCUACUAUUGCUAGGAUUAAAGAUGAGGAAACCAAGACUCAGCAAAAUCCAAUAACUUCCCCGAGCUUUCACAAUGAGAAGGCAACAGAAGCAGGAUUGGAACCAAAUUGGAUUUCCAAACUCAAAUGACUGAUGAAUGAGCUCCCAUAGUAUUGCAUAUCACCCUAAUGCCUCAAAAGAGGAGAUCAAAGUGUUCUUAAUCAGGGUGGAAAUCCACAGUCUAUAAUUGUCGAGUUGUCAGAUCAUCCGUCUUUUUUUUUCAUACAUUGAUGACGAUAAUUUCAGAUUUGUUAAAUAACAUGCUACAGUCCCAAUGCUUCAUGCCUUUCUUAGAACAUGGGAUAGGAUGUGCUCUGUAUACAAGUUAGUUGGCUCCUUGCCCUUCCUCCUCCUCUCUAUCAGGUUCAUUACUUGGACUUACAAGAGGGCAAGUAAUGGCAUAGGAGAAGUUAGCCUCAAAUGCUUGUUGUUUCUAGAAGGUAUACAGCAUGUAAUGGCAUAGGAGAAUUUAGCCUCAAAUACUUGUUGUUUCCAGAAAGUAUCUGGCUAAUUUAUUUCAAAAGGCUUUUGCUCCUAUGAAGUUUAAUCGAGUUGGUGCGUAUUAAAGGACUCGCUUAAUCUUCAUCUGAAUGUGAGCAGUAAAUAUGUUUUGGAGAUUAUACUCAUUUCCCAGUGACUCUAAGUACUUUCCUAUUCUAAAGCUGAUUCUUAUCCUUCAGAGCAAAAGGGUUUCAAUUCUAUGGAGUCACCAAAAUAAAAUACAGAGUCACAAGCAAAGUGGUUGUUUACCCUUUGGUACAGGAACACACCCAGCAAGAGCCACGCUGUGAAGGCUGACUCCUUAAUGAACCAUCCUUUGUGCUACUUGCCUUCUGAAUAUGUACAAGACUAUGGGUGUCUGCAAAAAGCCUUCAAAAUCACCGGGCUGGGAUAGGGAGCUACCACCUGUGAGCUGCUGGUAUUCCACUUUGUUGCUUCUAAUGGAAGGCCAGCUUAUCCACUAUGGGUGGAAUUGCUAAGCCCUGUCAGGGGAGAGAUUUUGCCAAAUAAAUUUUAAUGGCUUGGAAUCAAGUUCAAUUCAUGAAAAAAACGAAAGACAGGAAAGCUUGCUUGGUAUCAUAUGAGCAAUACUAAACUUUUACAUCCUGUAAGCACAUGGGAUGUACAAGUUGCUGGGAGAGUAUGAAGAAUUUCUGUUCCUCUGCCAGAAGAAAUUCAUCCUAGCAUUAUCUGAGGAAGGUCUUUGAUGUCUUCUCUGUGUUAGUGAAAUAGUCUUGAAUCAGAUAGGAACACAGACAGUCUAGUUACACAAGAACUAGACAGUAAGUUCAAUGGUGUGGGGUGAAAGAUAACUGAUUGAUCAAGAAAGAUGGCAGCCAAGGAUGUGUAGUUGCUAUCUCACAUUGGGUCACAUCCUAACAAUUCCCUUCUGAAUUAUGCUUCUAGACACCCCCAGGCUU